AGAACUUAACGAAUUGACGGGGCCCGCACAAGCGGUGGAGCAUGUGGUUUAAUUCGAUGAUACGCGAGGAACCUUACCUGGGCUCGAACGUAAGAUGACUGUAGGUGAAAGCUUACAUCUCUUCGGAGCAUUUUACGAGGUGCUGCAUGGUUGUCGUCAGCUCGUGCCGUGAGGUGUCGGGUUAAGUCCCAUAACGAGCGCAACCCCUACCUUUAGUUGCCAUCAGGUUAAGCUGGGGACUCUAAAGGAACUGCCUACGCAAGUAGUGAGGAAGGCGGGGAUGACGUCAAAUCAGCACGGCCCUUACGUCCAGGGCUACACACGUGCUACAAUGGCCGAUACAGAGGGCAGCUACCUGGUGACAGGAUGCAAAUCUCCAAAGUCGGUCUCAGUUCGGAUCGGAGUCUGCAACCCGACUCCGUGAAGUUGGAUUCGCUAGUAAUCGCGCAUCAGCCAUGGCGCGGUGAAUACGUUCCCGGGCCUU
rnacentral:rRNA from 1 species